CUAUUCUUUACUCUUCUACAUGCUGCAAGAUGCUUGGAGCUGCUUGAAGAUGCUAGUCUUCGAUAGGCUAGGCCUUCCCCUCUAUUCUGGCAUUCUGCAGUUCUGUCCACAGAUACAAACCUUCCAUUUGAUACUAGUGCAUACUGAGUAUAGAUCUGAUGCUUGCGAGUACUUUGGAUGAGUACUCACGGUUGCUUUGCUAUCCCUUUUCCCCCUUCCUUCUUCUUUCCGGUUGAUGCAACCAGAUGGUCGAUCCCUGGAGCCAGAUGCCACCGCUGAUGGAUGCUACUACAUGGAGACCGCUGACGACCAGGAGUAGUUAGGAGGUCCCAGGCAGGAGGCCUUGCCUCUUCGAUCGUUGUUGCUUUUGUGCAAGCCUUCUUAAGGCAUGUUUGUUUAACUUAUGUCUAUAAUCAGAUAUUGUUGCUUCUGCUGACUCUUGUGUAUCGAGCUUGUAUUCGAGCCCUCGAGGCCCUUGGCUUGUAAUAUAAAGCUUGUAUUAUUUUGAUUUGUGUCUAGAGUUGUGUUGUGAUACCUUCCCAUGAGUCUCUGAUCUUGAUCGUACACAUUUGCGUGUAUGAUUAAUAUACGAUUGAAUCGAGGGCGUCACAAGUUGGUAUCAGAGCUGACUGCCUGUAGGAUCCCCCUUUCUAACUCCUUGGCCAAAGUUGAGUGUAGUCUUUGAAAAAACUGAUUUACUAAUAUGUCUGUGCGGCUUAUGGGCCCACGUUGCCAUUGGGUGGUAUUAGGAUUUUUUACUCCUCGACUAUACUCUGGGACUCUGAUCUCUCUUCUAUUCAGGUUAAAUGGUUUUGUUAACUCUAACUCUAGGUUCUCAUAAAUACUCUCGACUAUACUCUGGGACUCUGAUCUCUCUUCUAUUCAGGUUAAAUGGUUCUGUUAACUCUAACUCUAGGUUCUCGUAAAUACUUUCUUCCGGAGAGCCCCUCACUCCAGAUGAUUGCUUGGUGCACCAAAAGAUUCUGAAGAUACUCUCCGAUGUUUUACCGAGACCCUUCUGCCCUUCGCCGUUACAAUCCCUACCACCGAUAAAUCCUUAUGCGUAACUACCUAUGUUGUCAUUCAUACCUUCAUCCCUAGUUGCUCUUGUUAUUACAAGAUGUCCUGAAAUAUUCUUCGAUGUUUUAAGAAUUCUUUAUGCUUACUGCCCUGCAGUUCCUUGCCGCAUGAAUAUCCCUACGGAUAAUUACUCACUCUCGUCGAGUACCCAUUCAUCCCCCGUUAUUCUUAUGCUUCGUAAGAUACUUUGUGAUACAAUCUGAGCUUUCGAUGACCUCUGUCGCCUAUUGCUCUAGAAUGUCUUACCUGCCUACACUCCGGUUAAGUCCAUAUGCCUAGCAGUAUCCAUUGACGUCCUUUGUUAUUAUCAUCUCGAGUCUUUCGAUUUGAUAUGUCUAUGUCGCAAUCAUCAGUUGAUCCUUGUAGAUUAUCUUUCCGGCUCAGACGUCUUCCCGAACAUGAGCCGGUUCUCGGCCAAUCAGAUUGCCAUCGUUUGUGCCCUAAGUCUAUUCAACUUAUCCAUCCUUGAUCAGAGCAUUUGCUUCUGAUCCCUUGAUUUUGGAAAUCAUAAUUCCGUUGCAUUUGAGCCUUAAAUUAGUCAGUUGUUUCUAUAACCUGAUCUCCUUACAUCCUUUCCUCUUCUAGUUGAGUACCGUUGCUCACAUCAGAUCCCUCGUGGACCACCAGAUUCUUUGUUGGGUUCUACCCGACAGUGUCCUUCAUAUUCAAUAACCUUGUGAGCCUUCCCUCGGAUACAUAAUGCCUUUGGUAAAUUGUAUCCCCCGCUCUUGUCAACCAUACAUUGCUUCCGGGCUUAGUUAAUUACUCGUGAAGUUUGUGGUAUAUGUUCCUAAGAUGCGCCGGUGGGUUGAACCUAUGCCUUCAAUAAUCGGUGUGAACCCGAAGAUUAUGUGGGUUAUAUCUACUGGUGUUUCUUGGAUAAAUUUCAAUUCUACAACUUCGUCGAAGACAAGAAGUGAAUGGAAGGUUGUGCAUUAGAGAAGUGAGAGUCGACCUUGAACCUUUGUGUUCAUGCCCAUGGACCCGAUGUGGAACUUAUCAUGUAAGCUUCUUGUGAAAAUAAUAAUCCCUUGUGACAAGUUCUUUUGGCACCUAUAUUUGGUCCUUUGCAACCAUGGUUCCGACCAUAUUGUUCUUCUUUGAUCCAAUUUCUCGGACAAGUUAAAGUACUUGUCUUCUUCAGAUCGUUUCACCUGUUCAACCUCUACGCUGAUAUACCUUCGGGUACUAUCCUCUGGUAUCUUGAGAAUAUCACGGAACUACAUAACUUCUUAUGAGUUCUUGAUCAACUAUUAUUUCUUGCUGAUUCAAAAUUUUCACUGGUUCGGAGUUGUUAGACACUCGAGAAUACAGAUAACAGUCUACGCUUUCCUUUCCAUUGUUUUGUUUAAUCUUUCUUGUAACCUAUCUUAUCUGCGCAGUGAUAAUUCCCUGCUUAUGUAAACACCUCGGUGUACAACUCUGUCCGUAAGGCCUUGUUACUAUUGCUGAUGUCAUUGCGGUAGCCACCGAUGGACGAGAACUUUGCCUAUUGGUCCGCCUCGUCUUAACGAGCAGGAAAAUGGUUCUCUUCGUCCCUCGCCUUUGGUACCAGCGUUGUUGUUGACAUAACUGACAGGCUGUCCUUUGACCCGCCUUGCUAUCAUGACCGUGCAAAUGUUAUCACCCUUCCUGCUUUUAACCCACAUGGUGGGCUCAUAACCCACAGUUCCACAUGAUCGAAACCUGACUCUCCUAUACAUCCAUGUUUUCAAAGUUAUCCCUCACGCUUGGAUUCAUAUGUAAUUCACGAGCCGCCUUCCUUGUGAUCUGUUCUGGUACUAGACGCAAUACUUAUUCUCAUUGCUCUGAACCCUUUACACCCUCUGUUUCAGGCACGAACGAUUGCCUACCCGGUUGAAGCUUCUUGUUGCUCCUUCUUACCUUGCUCUCGAUGACUUUCUUGAAUUUCAACUCGAGAGAUUUCUCUAUGCCACGUUCAUUGAAACAUCCCCCAGGUACCUAUCUCGUGUUGAGCUCCAUCCUUCCCAAGUCUUUCCCCCUUACUCCACCCCUUAAAUCUCGGGAUGAGAUUUCAUGUAACGGAGGAGAAUUGUGACGCCCAGAUAAUUAAGUUACAGUAAUCCUCUGCUAAUGGUGCUUUGUCAUCACAUUACUGUUGCUAAUCCUCGGUUGAUCCAAAUCACAAUUCAAAUUCAAAUUUAAAACUUAAGUAAAAAAUAAAAGUUUUUCAAAUGUCAAAACUAAAAUGUGCGAAGUGUGGCAAAUAAUUAUUGGAUAUUUAUCAUAUAUAAACCACACUUUUAUAAAGUGUUUAAAUGUCCCAAAAUAAUUAAAACAGUAGCUAAAGCAAUUAAUUAAAUGCCAUUUAUAAUGUCGAAAAUGUUAAACUAUUUUAUUUGAGAGCGAAACUUUUUGUAGUAGAGGUAUAGAUAGUAAUACUAAUUUAUAAAGUACUUUUGUAUUUUAACUAAGCUAAAAUAUUAUGGAAAUUAAAUAAAACUGUGGAUAGAUAAUAAACAGAGGUAGAGUAAAUGAAAAACAAAAUACCUAAACUACUGGACCUUUGGCCCAUUAAGCAAAAAACUGGCCAGCCCACAUACCCCCUCCUUCCUCCUCCUGUUCACGAGGGGGGAUCGUGGCGGCCAUCGCCCCGUCGGCGGCCACGCGCCGGCCAUCGCCCGGCCGUCGCCCUCAACAAAACCCUGGCGCCCCCCUCCCGUCGCCGAACCCUAAUCCCCUCUCCCUCACUCGCGCCCCCAUCUCCUCUCCCUCGAUGAAAUCGCCCGACCUGCCGCCUUGGCCAUCGCCGUCGUCGCGGCCACUGGCCUUCCCCGGCCGGAGCUCAUGUCUAGGAGGACCUCCAGCGUCGUCUCCUUCGCCACGUGUACCGGUUCGAUCUAGGACCGCUCCAAGCCUCGCCAUCAAGCUCUUCUCCGCCGCGGACGUCACCAUCUCGCUGUCGAUUCGCCUAGCUCCGUCCAGUCUCCGGCCUCCCCGAGCUCACCGACGACACCACAGUGACUCCUCCCUCGGAUCCCCUUUUCUCCCAUUUGAUUUGGACGUCGUAGGCCGCCAUCACCGCCAAGCCCGAACCCCCACGCGUACACAUACGUACAUGCGUGCGGCUGCUGCUCCUGCACUGUUGCUGCCGCCCGCUGUGGCUUGCUGCGCUGCGGCUGCUGUUGUUCCCCCGACACUGCCGCCUGCGUCCGCACACCGCUGCCCCGGCUCCGCCGCUCCCCGCGCGCGUGUGGCCGCACCCCCACUCCUGUUGCUUGCUUCUGAUAUGCCGCUGUUUUGCUUGCUACUGUCGCCGCUCGUUGUUUUUGCUGAUGCUCCUAAGCGUUGCUCAUGAGUGCUAGUCACUCCUACUCCUGGAUACUGCUACUUGCCGCUGCUGAUUCCUACUACUGCCGCUGCUAGUUGCUGCUAAUGGCCAUGGCCGUGGCCAUGUCCAAGCACGUGUGGUGUGCGUGUGUAUGCACAUCCACCAUCGGCCGGCCGUGCAGAUUAUCUUAGGGACUAAUUACUAGUUAGUUUUACUACUAGCCAGUGAUAGUGGCCCCCACUAUUACCUAAUCUAAUUUAAUUAAAGUCUAGUUAACCAUACACAAUGACACAUGGGACCCAUAGGAACUAUUCAUUGGUUGACCCAGUCAACAACUGACUGUACUGUUGACUUUGACCUGGCCCCACAUGUCAUUGACUGUGGCUGGCAAACACUAGGUGACAAGUAUAAUUUUACUGUUUUAUUUUCGAAAUAUUAAUAAAUCCAGAAAUUCAUAAAAUCAUUUAAAACUUUGAAAAUAAUAAAAUAAUCCGUAACUCGGAUGAAAAAACUUUGUACAUGAAAGUUGCUCAGAACGACGAGACGAAUCCUAACACGCGGUCCGUUUGUCCGCCACAAAUCCCUAGCAUAGAAAACAUGCAACCUUUCCCCUCCGGUUCAUCUGUUUGACAGACGUUCGGAACCGGAAAAUCUUUCCCGGAUGUUUUCCCCUUUCGCCAGUAUCGCCUAGCACUGCGUUAGAACACCUCUAGCCCCGCUUAUUGUCUUGUUAUGCAUAUGUUUGCGUGUAUUUACUGUUUCUUCCCCCUCUUCUCUCCGAUAGACCCCGAGACCGAUGUUGAUGUCCCUGUGAUCGACUACAUCAACGACGACCCUCCUUGUCUGAGCAACCAGGCAAGCCCCCCCUUUGAUCAUCGCGAUAUCGCCCAUUCCAUUCUCUCAUGCUUGCGUUAGAUUUUGCUAUUGUUAUUGUUUUCUCCUAUUCUGAUGCAUAGCCUGCUUUUGUAACCUGCUCAUUGUACCUUACCUGCUUAUCCUGAACUACUUAGUAUAGGUUGGUUAGUGAUCCAUCAGUGACCCCCAGUACUUGUCCUUGUUGCCCCUACUUCAUCAUCGACGACUCAAUCAGCGUGAUCGACGACCAAAGCCCGACACCUCACAUCACAUCACGCCCCUUUUGUUGAUCGACUCUGCAGAGCUACUAUCGAGUGCCGAGGGUGAUCCCUCAUAAUGCACUCCUGAUGAUAAUUCUGUAGUGUAGCUAUUCGGUCGUGGUCAUCGAGGGUGAUUUCCUCUUUCACCAUUCCCGAUACCCCUCUGUCGUUCAACACCUCAAGUGUGAACCUCGAUGGUGGUCCCUCUUAUGUUCACCUUGAUGAUUACAUUGAGUGGAAUCCAUCGGGGGUGAUUCCUCGGGUUUUCCCCUUGAUGUUUGGACACACGGUUAUCUUGACUUUACUUGAGACCAUUGUUGAAGUCGGGUCGGCCCUAAGGGGUACCUGCGAGUUGAUGUGAAAGUCGGGCGAGCCCGUAAAGCACCCGCGAGUUUCCACAUGGCACGGCCGGGCAAUUUGGGCCCUUGCCGUAAGUCCAUGAGACGGGGCGAUGGGGUCACCUUAGUCUCUGCUCAUUUCCGCGAGCCCCCAAUGCACUAACAGGUUUGGGUAGUUGUUAUGAGUUGUCCUCUGGCCUUUACGCACUAACCACCACGCGAGAAUAGAUAUGGGCCUCGACGUCGUGGUAUCAGCCGAAGCUUUGUCAGACGUCCAGUUCAGUAGUGCGGCACGGUCGGAUCAUGCUGGCCAUCCAAGGCGGUGCUGGUAUCCACCCUGCUCGCAACGACCCGGAGUGCUGCGGGCGAUGGGCCCAAGACCCCGGAGUGCUUAGGAUGUAGACCGGCGGGGACCUCUCUGCUGAGCCUAGGUAGGGCUGCGACGUGUUGAUCUUCCGAGGGCGGGCAUUGACCCUAGAAAGGUGUGUCCGACCAGAGUGAUCGAGCGUGUUGGGUAACGUGGUGCACCCCUGCAGGGAAGAUAUAUAUUCAGAUACCGUGUCAACGGCAAUGGACGUUCAGACUUGUAUCCGGAUCUUAUAUAACUAGAAAUGGAUACUUGAGAUAUGUGAUGGAUAUGUGUCUCCGAGAUUACUUUCCCGCAGGGAGUCGGGGAAGGAUCUCUGGGCGUUGAUGUUACAACAUGCUUGUUAAAUAUUAUAAACUGCUAUUCUUUACUCUUCUACAUGCUGCAAGAUGCUUGGAGCUGCUUGAAGAUGCUAGUCUUCGAUAGGCUAGGCCUUCACCUCUAUUCUGGCAUUCUGCAGUUCAGUCCACAGAUAUAAACCUUCCAUUUGAUACCAGUGCAUACUUAGUAUAGAUCUGAUGCUUGCGAGUACUUUGGAUGAGUACUCACGGUUGCUUUGCUACCCCUUUUCCCCCUUCCUUCUUCUUUUCGGUUGAUGCAACCAGAUGGUGGAUCCUUGGAGCCAGAUGCCAUCACUGAUGGAUGCUAUUACAUGGAGACCGCCGACAACGAGGAGUAGUUAGGAGGUCCCAGGCAGGAGGCCUUGCCUCUUCGAUCGUUGUUGCUUUUGUGCUAGCCUUCUUAAGGCAUCCUUGUUUAAUUUAUGUCUGUAAUCAGAUAUUGUUGCUUCUGCUGACUCUUGUGCAUUGAGCUUGUAUUCGAGCCCUCGAGGCCCCUGGCUUGUAAUAUAAAGCUUGUAUUAUUUUGAUUUGUGUCUAGAGUUGUGUUGUGAUAUCUUCCCGUGAGUCCCUGAUCUUGAUCGUAUUUGCGUGUAUG
rnacentral:lncRNA from 1 species